rnacentral:rRNA from 1 species
CCUUCGGGGUACACGAGCGGCGAACGGGUGAGUAACACGUGGGUGAUCUGCCUUGCACUUCGGGAUAAGCCUGGGAAACUGGGUCUAAUACCGGAUAUGACCUCGGGAUGCAUGUUCUGGGGUGGAAAGAUUUAUCGGUGCGAGAUGGGCCCGCGGCCUAUCAGCUUGUUGGUGAGGUAACGGCUCACCAAGGCGACGACGGGUAGCCGACCUGAGAGGGUGACCGGCCACACUGGGACUGAGACACGGCCCAGACUCCUACGGGAGGCAGCAGUGGGGAAUAUUGCACAAUGGGCGAAAGCCUGAUGCAGCGACGCCGCGUGCGGGAUGACGGCCUUCGGGUUGUAAACCGCUUUUGACAGGGACGAAGCGCAAGUGACUGUACCUGUAGAAUAAGGACCGGCCAACUACGUGCCAGCAGCCGCGGUAAUACGUAGGGUCCGAGCGUUGUCCGGAAUUACUGGGCGUAAAGAGCUUGUAGGCGGUUCGUCGCGUCGUUUGUGAAAACUUGGGGCUCAACCUUAAGCUUGCAGGCGAUACGGGCGGACUAGAGUACUUCAGGGGAGACUGGAAUUCCUGGUGUAGCGGUGAAAUGCGCAGAUAUCAGGAGGAACACCGGUGGCGAAGGCGGGUCUCUGGGAAGUAACUGACGCUGAGAAGCGAAAGCAUGGGUAGCAAACAGGAUUAGAUACCCUGGUAGUCCAUGCCGUAAACGGUGGGUACUAGGUGUGGGGCUCCUUCCACGGACUCCGUGCCGUAGCUAACGCAUUAAGUACCCCGCCUGGGGAGUACGGCCGCAAGGCUAAAACUCAAAGAAAUUGACGGGGGCCCGCACAAGCGGCGGAGCAUGUGGAUUAAUUCGAUGCAACGCGAAGAACCUUACCUGGGUUUGACAUACACCGGAAACCUGCAGAGAUGUAGGCCCCCUUGUGGUCGGUGUACAGGUGGUGCAUGGCUGUCGUCAGCUCGUGUCGUGAGAUGUUGGGUUAAGUCCCGCAACGAGCGCAACCCUUAUCUUAUGUUGCCAGCGCGUAAUGGCGGGGACUCGUGAGAGACUGCCGGGGUCAACUCGGAGGAAGGUGGGGACGACGUCAAGUCAUCAUGCCCCUUAUGUCCAGGGCUUCACACAUGCUACAAUGGCCGGUACAGAGGGCUGCGAGACCGUGAGGUGGAGCGAAUCCCUUAAAGCCGGUCUCAGUUCGGAUCGGGGUCUGCAACUCGACCCCGUGAAGUUGGAGUCGCUAGUAAUCGCAGAUCAGCAACGCUGCGGUGAAUACGUUCCCGGGCCUUGUACACACCGCCCGUCACGUCAUGAAAGUCGGUAACACCCGAAGCCGGUGG